rnacentral:rRNA from 1 species
GGAAGUAAAAGUCGUAAACAAGGUUUCCGUAGGUGAACCUGCGGAAGGAUCAUUAAAGAGUAAGGGUGCUCAGCGCCCGACCUCCAACCCUUUGUUGUUAAAACUACCUUGUUGCUUUGGCGGGACCGCUCGGUCUCGAGCCGCUGGGGAUUCGUCCCAGGCGAGCGCCCGCCAGAGUUAAACCAAACUCUUGUUAUUUAACCGGUCGUCUGAGUUAAAAUUUUGAAUAAAUCAAAACUUUCAACAACGGAUCUCUUGGUUCUCGCAUCGAUGAAGAACGCAGCGAAAUGCGAUAAGUAAUGUGAAUUGCAGAAUUCAGUGAAUCAUCGAAUCUUUGAACGCACAUUGCGCCCCUUGGUAUUCCGAGGGGCAUGCCUGUUCGAGCGUCAUUACACCACUCAAGCUAUGCUUGGUAUUGGGUGCCGUCCUUAGUUGGGCGCGCCUCAAAGACCUCGGCGAGGCCUCACCGGCUUUAGGCGUAGUAGAAUUUAUUCGAACGUCUGUCAAAGGAGAGGACUUCUGCCGACUGAAACCUUUUAUUUUUCUAGGUUGACCUCGGAUCAGGUAGGGAUACCCGCUGAACUUAAGCAUAUCAAUAAGCGGAGGAAAAGAAACCAACAGGGAUUGCCUCAGUAACG